rnacentral:lncRNA from 1 species
UGUAUCCAAUAUAAAGCAAAUAGACAACUAGAUAAAAAAUAUUGAUUUUUCUUAAUUUCUCCUCUUUUGAUUUAAAUUACACUCAAUUUUUUGGACAGGCAAGUUCACAAUGGGAAACGCCUCCUUUAAGGUUGUUACCACUCCAUCAAAUAUUUGUAAGAACAGUCCCUUUAUCAUGAUUUACCUUCUUAAAAACUACACAUACUAUGAACCAAUUUUUCUUUUUUUUUUUUUGCCAGUCUUUUCUAUUGAGUGUGUAAAAUCAUAAAAUUCCUUAAUCCAAAUAUGAAUCAACCCCC